rnacentral:rRNA from 1 species
GAUGAACGCUGGCGGCGUGCCUAAUACAUGCAAGUCGAGCGAACGGACGAGAAGCUUGCUUUUCUGAUGUUAGCGGCGGACGGGUGAGUAACACGUGGAUAACCUACCUAUAAGACUGGGAUAACUUCGGGAAACCGGAGCUAAUACCGGAUAAUAUUUUGAACCGCAUGGUUCAAUAGUGAAAGACGGUCUUGCUGUCACUUAUAGAUGGAUCCGCGCUGCAUUAGCUAGUUGGUAAGGUAACGGCUUACCAAGGCAACGAUGCGUAGCCGACCUGAGAGGGUGAUCGGCCACACUGGAACUGAGACACGGUCCAGACUCCUACGGGAGGCAGCAGUAGGGAAUCUUCCGCAAAGGGCGAAAGCCUGACGGAGCAACGCCGCGUGAGUGAUGAAGGUCUUCGGAUCGUAAAACUCUGUUAUUAGGGAAGAACAAAUGUGUAAGUAACUGUGCACAUCUUGACGGUACCUAAUCAGAAAGCCACGGCUAACUACGUG